CCAAUAGCGUAUAUUAAAGUUGUUGCAGUUAAAAAGCUCAUAGUUGAAUUUCGGGGUCAGUAGGUUGGUCGUGCCACGGGUAUGUACUGGUCUCACUGAUUCCUCCUUCCUGAUGAACCGUAAUGCCAUUAAUUUGGUGUUGCGGGGAAACUGGACUGUUACUUUGAAAAAAUUAGAGUGUUUAAAGCAGGCUAACGCUUGAAUACAUUAGCAUGGAAUAAUGAAAUAGGACGUUCGAUCCUAUUUUGUUGGUUUCUAGGAUUGACGUAAUGAUUAAUAGGGAUAGUUGGGGGCAUUAGUAUUCAAUUGUCAGAGGUGAAAUUCUUGGAUUUAUUGAAGACUAACUACUGCGAAAGCAUUUGCCAAGGAUGUUUUCAUUAAUCAAGAACGAAAGUUAGGGGAUCGAAGACGAUCAGAUACCGUCGUAGUCUUAACCAUAAACUAUGCCGACUAGGGAUCGGAUGAUGUUAAUUUUUUAAUGACUCAUUCGGCGCCUUACG
rnacentral:rRNA from 1 species